AAGACCCCAAUGCGUCGCGGAUGCGGCG
rnacentral:rRNA from 1 species